UUUGAUCUUUGCUUUGGGAGAACAUGGGCUAUCUUUUCUUCUCUUUUUUUUCAGGUGGGUAGUGGAUACCCCUAAUUCUACUGUCGGACACUUGUCCAUUUUUUCCGCUCAAGUGGGCAUCUUUGUACCCCUAAUUCUACUUCGAACACUUGUCCAUUUUUACCUCUCGUCUCACUCUUUUUCUUUCUUUUUCGAGGUUCCGGGCACUUGCCCCUUUUUAUUUCCUCGCAUAUUUUUGCAUAACCCAUGCCUCUUCUGCAUUGAAUCUUUUUAGAGAGAAAGAAUAACAAUACUUGGGACAGUGAGUGAUAAUAUUUUUAGCAAUUUUAAUGAAUGGUGAUGGAUAGUGUAGUAGAUGUGUGCAAGUGAAUAUCUUAAUUUAACCACAUGAAAAGCUUCUAAGGGUCCACACAGCUCGAUCAAACUCAAUGUAAAUAUAGUAAAAGAUGUUAUAGCAAGUAUGGAUGUAGUAGGUAGUUUGCAAUGCUAGUAACUCAUCAUGUGAUUUUUAAGUUUUCAAAAUAAAUCUCUAGAACUUAGUGUAGUAGGAACAAGAUAAACAGUAGCUCAAACUUUAUAUCAUGCCUUUCUCUUACUCGGACUUUAGUUUUAUGCUUUCUAUACAUAGUAAAUUCAGUUUCAGUAAUUCCUGGAAGAACUCUAAUAUAGAAGCUAGGUACUUGUAAGUAAGCAAACAGAGCAACUGUUCAUCAUUUCCAUCAUGCAUCUUUUUGGUCUUUUAUUUUUCUAGAGAUUAAACUUAGCAGGAAAAUAAAGCACACUUAUCUACACACUCUUUUUAUUUUGUUUUCAUGUUUAUAGAAUGCAGUAAAUUAAAGCAAGAAAAUAUUUAUUGGGUUUUCUAAAUGUUUCUCUUAAGAUGAAAUACUAAAAUAGAAAAGAAUAAAUAAGUAAAGCAAAUAAAAACUUACUUGAUAAAUUGGGGAGGAACUCCCCCAAGCUGGAUGUUGCUGUCGGUCUUACCCGAUGUUCCAGAACCGCAUCAUGGUUGUAAUGUUGUCGUUCAUUGUUGUUGUAUCUUGUCUCAGCUCUUGUACUGUAGCGGCAUGGUCCUGGUUCCAUUUUUGUUGCUCUUCCAGGAGUCGUCCAUGCUCUGCUUGCGUGUUCUGGAUGUCGAGGAGGGUGUUGUCGGUACGGGUGAAGAAAGCGCCGGCCUCUUGGUAGUAGUCAUUCGUGAAAGCGUAGGAGGCGUCGGAGUAUCGUCCUGCAUCAAAUUGGGGCGGAGGUCUGGAUCCUGAAGCUCCAUAUGGAUUAGUGGAGUACCUACCAGUUUGAAAAGGCGGGUUUGUCCACUGGUGAUCUUGGCUCUCCGGCCAUGUCUCCUCUGUUGGCUCUUGUGGUUGCGCAUGUCGAACCCAUGGGUCUCGAAGGAUUCGGGGGUUGUAGUCAUAAUAAUGCAGGUGCGCUGCUUCUUCUGGUCCGGGAUCAGCUUCAUACCAGGUGCAUUCUUGAUGGGUGAUCAUCCUUUCAGAUGCCACUCGCUGUGGAGCUCUCUGGUUCACUGGUGUUGCUGCAAUCUCAAUCAAAAAAUUUUGAACAACGUAGAGGCCAAGGUUCGGGUUAGGUAAAUGAAUCUUGCCUUUAUCAUCAUAUAGCAUAUACAUUAUGUUCCCCUCUUUCUUUAACAUCCGAGCUUGUCUAAAUGUGUCAUAGCCAUGAUAAAUUCUUAACUCAUCUAUGAAUUCCAGUGAUGAAUUUUCUAGCAAAUGAAGAUUAGAGGCUAGACGAGUGAUAAGUGAAGUACAUCCUACUGGUCCCUGAAGACUAGGUACACUAAGCCAAUGAGAAACUAAAAGUGUAACAGGUGGAGUGGGUACUUUAUUAAUAGCAGCAUAUAAAAGUUGUAAAUCUCCUACUCUUACUUUCCUAAUAUCAUCAUGAUAGAAAAGAUUGUACCCAAGCCAUUUGUGGAACAUCCUAAGAGUGGGGUGUUCCAUGUCACUGGUUCGGGCUUGACUAUAAAAAUUUUCUCUAGAUAUUUCUCUCCAAAACUGGUGUCUCUCAAAGUUAGGUAGGUCGGAGUCAAUGUUCAGGAUGCAUCUUGAAGAGAAACCAAGAUGGUCGCUCAGCUCUCUCCAAGACAACAUAAUUUCCUGUUUGAACAUCUGAAAAACAAUUCCCCCCUCAUAAUAUUGUAAGGUGCAAAGAAAAUUGAGGGUGAGAAGACGAGAACCCAGCUCAGUUAUAUUCCAAAAAUUUGUCCAACCUAUCAUCUGGAAAAUUAAGUCGAAUUUAGUGUCCAUACCUGUUUCUUGUAGCAAGAUUGGAUCAAGAGUAGGGGUGUGAAUGAAAUCUUCAUUCUUUAGUUGCUGGUAAACUUCCUUUUCCGUUCAGGUCUUUAGUCCAAGGUCUUCUAUCUUGAGAAGGACCUUGACUUGUUGAUUAGAUGAAGAUGACGGAGCUUGUGUGGGCGUUGGGUCGACGCUCAUCUCUGAUGGGUAUGAGGAGUGUCGGGAUGAACUCCUUGUACCAAUGUUCUUGAGAGCCUUCCCUGCAUUCUUCACCUUCUUAAACAGCCUGUAAACAAAAGUUGGCAAAAACACAACUAGUGGAAAAUGUGAGAGAAAAUAUUAGUGGUCAGCUAUCCGGAAUGUCAGUAGUCUAGGGGUUAGUCGUUCAAGACAAGUUUCUAUUUUGGCAGAACCUCCCCCUAAACAACUUUUACUUCCGCUUGGACAGCGGAAUCACUACUUACUAGGUGAAACUCACUUUCUCACUCAAAAACUACCAACUUCUUUCCCACUCUUCUCUUCCUCUCUACUCUCUCUUUUCUUCACUACAAGAGCUCCUUCUCUGGAAACUGAAACUUGUGUGGUUUUCUGGAGUGCUUGUGUGAAGAAGAUGGAGGUAGAAGGUGACUAUUUAUAGGAGGAAGAGGGGGCAGGGCGGGCGCCCUUGGUAGGUGGGCGGGCGCCCACCUUUGGUGCCCAUUCUGGCUGCCCUAUCUCCACUCCUUUCUCUGCUUAAUUCUCACGCAAAAUAAUGCAUCAUGGGUGGUGGUUGGCCGGUGGAAAAAGUUCUGGUUAGUGGAGAUAUGUUGGUGGAUCAAAUAAUGUGAUGGGAUGUAUGUGAGGUGUGGUGUAUGACAUGUGGGACCCAAGGAGUGUGGGUCAUGCUCCUAGAAGAUUAAUAUAAUUAAAUAUAAUGCAGGAAAAUCUAUGAGAAUUGAAACUUAAUUAAAAUGAUAAUGGAAAAUAUUUUUGUGCCUCCACAACAACUAAUAAAUAUGGGUUGUUACACACCAUGAAUAUUAUUUAUAUGGGGCUUUUUAUUAUUAUAAUGAUGCUAUGACUAAUGCAAGAAUUAAUUAUGCAAAAAUUCAAACAAUGUGGAUAAAUACCGAUUUACCUCCUAGCGAGGGUUUGGGAUUUUUAGGUCCCCCAAGCUGGACCUCCAAAUCUUUUAAUCUUCUGAAUUAUCUUCCUCCGGAGAUGGUGUCUCCAGUGGUUCUUCAUGAACUUCCUUCAUUGUAGAGUCUCUCUCUAGUUUGGGUUUGAAUGUGAAGUGUUCUUCUUGUCCAUUUAUGUUGAACUUGAUUUCUCCUUUCCCGACAUCAAUGUGGGCAUUGGCAGUGCUCAGAAAUGGCCUUCCAAGGAUGAUGGACACUUUUGAGUCAGGACUCAUGUCCAGUACUACGAAGUCUACUGGCACCAGGAAAUCUCUGAUCUUGACUGGAAUGUUUUCGGUGAUGCCCAACGGAUGUUGAACCGAUUGAUCCGCUAGUUGUAGGCACAUUGAUGUUGGUUCUAGGGUCGCAUGCUCAAGCUUUUUGUAGACUGAUGCUGGCAUCACACUGACACUUGCUCCGAGAUCACAAAGUGCAUUGUUGAAGUGUUGGUUUCCGAUUGAGCAAUCAAUAGUGGGGCAUCCUAGAUCUUUCUUCUUCUUCGGCGGUUUAUUGAGGAUGGCCGCACUACAUUCUUCUGUCAGCUUGAUAACCUCAGUGGUGGGCAGUGGUCUCUUCUUGUUAAGAAUAUCUCUGAUAUACUUUGCCUAUGUAGGUACCUGUAUGGCAUCCAGCAGAGGUAUGUUGACAUAUAAUUUCUGAAUGACCUCUACAAACUUACCAAACUGCUCAUCCGACUGCAGUCCUCUGUUUCUUCUGCGAAAUGGCAAAUAGUUGGUGUCGUAAAAAUCAUUCCUCAUUUCUCCAGUUCUUGGUGGUUGUAGCAGAUCUUCUGCUUCAACUGGGCUUUCUUCUUCUAUCACUGCUGGUUGCACUGGUGCCGAUGUUCUUUGUUUCUCUUUUGGGUAUGGGGGAUCUCUGGUGGCUUUGCCUCCUCUAGUAGUUAUAUUCUUUACCUGCUCAAUGUUAGUAGCAAUAGGCAGUGCAGUAGCUAGCUCUAUUAAUUUAAGCUCUACCCUUUUAUUAAGAGUGUUUUGCUCAUAAAAGGCAGUUAAUAGAAAAUCCAUUUUAUUGUGUAUAUCUUUUAGAGAUGAUUCAUUUGUAUCUAGCCUUUGUUUAACUUCAUCAUUAAUUUUGGUUUGUUGAGCAAUUAUCUCUUUUAAUGAAAGUUGCUUGAAAGUAUUACCUGAAUUCAUACCUUUGCUAUUGGAUUGACUCGAAGUUGGUUGAUAUUUGUAUGUUGUCUCAAUGGCCCUUUGAUCUUCUUUGAACUUGGCCCUCUGGUCAAUCCAAUGGAGCAAAUUUUCCAUCUUAGUUGAUAAUGCAUUUACUUCUUCUGGUAUUUCUUUAGUUUGAUGACAUUGUUGAGCUUUAUCUUGGAACCAGCUUUGAUUUUCUGCUAUCUUAUCCAAAAGUAUCUCUACUUUUCCAAUUGUAAGCUCCAAGAAUGAUCCUUUAGCAGAUGCAUCUAGGCACUCACGAGCCUUCUGGGUUAAUCCAUGGUAGAAGAUCUGCAUAAGUAACCAUGUGGCCAUUCCAUGGUGAGGACAAUCUGAUAUGUAUCCUUGAAAACGCUCCCAUGCUUCUGAAAUGGCUUCUGUCUUCUGCUGUUGGAAACUGACAAUAUUUCCUCUUAAGGCAGUUGUUUUGCCUAUAGGGAAAAACUUUGAUAGAAAGGCAUCUGACAAGUUUAUCCAGUUGUUGAUGUUAUCUUGAUGAGUGUAGAACCACUUCCUCGCUUUCCCUUCUAGUGAGAAUGGAUAAAGGCGAAGCAGUAUAACAUCUUUGUCGACUCCAUUGAUGUGGAUUGUGCUUCCAAUUUCUAUGAAGUUCUGCAAGUGUGCACUAGCAUCUUCAUGUGCCUUUCCACUGAAUUGUGUAGCUUGCACCAAAUUGAUGAGGCUUGACUUGAGCUCAAACUCGGAUAUUCCUUCUUCUACUGCAAGUAUUGGACUAGUCGGAAUGUUCUUAAGGCUUGGAGCAGAGAAUUCUUGUAGGGUCUUCUGUGCCAUAGCUUCAGCAAUUGGUAGCUAGCUUCUUCUUAUCCUGAUUGCUUUGGUUCUGAUGAUGAAGAGUUGAAUGUACCCAAAGUCAAUCCUGAUAUACCCUGUAUAAAAAUAUAAACAUAGAAAAACAACAGGGUGAACCUGCCAAAGCAGAGGUGCCUUGUUAUGAUUUCUCACUUAGUAGCUGUUUUAUGCAAUUAUUUCUCUAUAGUCUAGUCUAAUAUUUUAUAUGAAUAACCUUGACUGAUUUCCUGACUUUCCUUACCGUUCCUAUGUGUUACCCUUUUGUUCCCCGGCGACGGCGCCAGAAAUGCUUGUUGACACUAGCUAACACCACUUAGAUACUAGGUUGUCAUCCCCAGCAUGGUGCCAGAGUGUACAAAGGUAUUUAUAAAUGUAAAGUCUCUCUAAAAAAUAAUCUAUUCUAUCCGCAAGCGUGCAGAUAAAACACCUCAUUGUAGCAUUUCACCAGGAUAAGUAUUCCAGGUAUCGUUAUUUAUAAUUUUGCUUAAGAGAACAAAAGAGAUGAAAUUAAAAUAAGGACAAAACCUAUCAAGGCAUAUACUAGAGAUAAACUUGUAAGAACAUGAUUACUAAUGAGAAACUUGUCACACAAUCACUUACUUUGGCAGGGGGUAAACCAUAAAGAUAAUGAUAAUGAAUUAUAAGUUCAAGGGCAAAUAACACAACGAUUAGAGAAUAGACUACUCCUCAUAUAUGUAGGUGACGACGGAUUAGCUAGAGAAUGGAUUCUAAGUUAUCUACUAUCUACUAAGUCAUAACCUACUCUAGUUAUCUACAAGAUCAUAUAUAGCAUAAAAGACUCUUUAUUCAUGUAUAAGGAACAUUGCUAAAGUAAAUCAGAACAUCGCAAGACUUACUCUGCAAUACAAGUUUUGCCUGUCCUAUCAACGGAGGGUGGACUAUAUAAGAAUCAACGAAGCUGUCACUAUUGCAAACUACCAAACAACCCGGCCAAUAGGAUACAUUUGCAGAUAAAUAACAUCUAAGCACCACGCUCACAUGUGAUCUAUCACCUAACUCCCUCGCGUCAAGAGCUAAGCGCUUUGCAAACUUAUACAUAAACUCAUUAUCAAUCAUAACUAUAUCAAAUAUAGAACUAGAGCAAACUAAGAACAUAAUAAUUAGAGACAUAAUGCAAUUAGAACAAAGAAUUAGAGAAAGAUAUGAAUAAUACCAAUCUUUAUUACCGAAGAUCCGAAUCCAAAGCGUAGUGCUCUACUUCUCUAAUUGCUAUCUAAUCAAACCUCUAAACUUGAAGGAUUAGGGAGUAGCUAAUUCUAAUUCUUUGUGGGAGAGAAGCUCUAAACCCUAACUUUGAUGGCUACCUUUGAAUAAUGAUUUCUCCUCUUCUCCUCUCUCCCCCAGGGGUGGAGAGGCCAUGAUUAUAUAGUCCUUUCAAGUGAAUUUGGGCCGUUGGAUCAAACCGACAUUGAUUGUAUGGUUUAGAUUCAUCUUUUAUGUCGGUGGAGCUUAGUCCCGAAAGAGAGUCCUGAUCCAACUCCUGGCCAGGGCGGGUGCCCAAGGGGGGUGGGUGGGCGCCCUGCCCCCGAGCCUGAUCGUCUUCCGCUUCCUUCCCGUGGCUUCUGGAGUCUUCUAGAUCGAGGAAAAUUGCGCGGCACGUAAUUAUCUCGUUGUAAACAUGACAUGUGGGCCUUCUCUCCAUAUUCUUUGAUAACUCCCUGCAGAAAUAGAUAAACACCAAAGCUCGUGGAAUUCUGUCAGAUAAAACCCUAAUUCUAGAUGUUUGGUGCAUAUUGAUCCUUUUUUAUUUGAUUAUUAAUUUUAGUACUUAAGGACCGUCAACAGAGUCGAUCUUUAGAUUAGCUAGGCUUCCUUGGGAAGUCAUCUCUAUUCCCAAGUUCUCAAGAUCUUGGCAUAGAGUUACAUCUCUAGGCGUCACUGUUAAGCAAUUAUAGUGAGCCUUACGACUGAGGGCAUCUGCUACUACAUUCGCCUUGCCUGGGUGAUAAUGCACCUCAAGAUCGUAGUCUUUGAUCAAUUCUAGCCACCUUCGCUGGCGCAUAUUAAGCUCGGCUUGAGUAAAAAUAUACUUCAAUCUCUUAUGAACUGUGUAUAGAUGACAAGUGUUUCCCAACAGGUAGUGGCGCCAGAUUUUCAAAGCAUGCACUACGAUGGCUAGCUCAAGAUCGUGGGUCGGGUAAUUCUCUUCGUGUGGCUUAAGUUGCCUAGAGGCAUAUGCAAUUACUCGACCCUCCUGCAUUAGCACAGAGCCGAUCCCUAUUCUUGAUGCGUCACAAUACACAUCAAAGGGCGUCUCAAUAUUAGGCUGGGCUAAUACAGGUGCAGUAGUCAGCAACCUUUUCAGAGUCUGAAAGGCCUGCUCACAUUCAGACGACCAAACAAAUUUUGUUUGAUUCUUGAGCAAGGUUAUGAUUGGCUUAGCAACCCUUGAAAAGUCCGGAAUGAAGCGGCGGUAAUAUCCCACCAUACCCAAAAAGCUACGGACCUCAUGCACCGUAGUAGGGGGCUUCCAAUUCAAAACAUCUUCUACUUUACCUGGGUCUACAGCGACUCCCUCUGCUGAUAAUACAUGACCCAGGAAAUGAACUUUGUCCACCCAUAACUCACACUUGCUAAACUUGGCAUAUAGUUGAUGGUCUCCCAGACGGGUUAACACAAUCCUCAGAUGUUCAGCGUGUUCUUUCCUUGUUUUAGAGUAGAUCAAGAUGUCAUCAAUGAAGACGACUACAAAUUUGUCUAGCUCCGGCAUAAAGACGGAGUUCAUCAAGUACAUGAAGUGAGCUGGUGAAUUGGUUAAACCAAAGGACAUCACCAAAUAUUCAUACAGCCCAUAACGGGUUGUGAAAGUCAUCUUGGGAACAUCUUCUAGCUUAAUCUUGAUUUGAUGGUACCCAGAUCUUAAAUAAAUUUUUGAGAAUACUUUAGCCCCGGCUAACUGAUCAAAUAGCAGGUCAAUGCGGGGCAAUGGGUACUUGUUUUUAAUCGUCACCUCAUUUAAGGGAUGAUAAUCAACACAUAGUCUCCUGUCUGAUCCUUCUUUUUCACAAAUAAGGCAGGGCAACCCCAUGGAGAUGAACUGGGUUGAAUAAAACCCUUCUGCAGCAACUCCUAUAAUUGGGUUUUCAAUUCAGCUAGUUCUUUUGGUUCCAUUCGAUAGACUCUUUGAGAAAUUGGGGUUGUCCCUGGUUUCAAUUCUAUACUGAAUUGAACAUCCCGGUCUGGUGGCAGACCUGGUAGGUCCUCAAGAAACACAUCUGGGAACUCCCGAACCACUAGAAUAUUUUCAACUUCUUUCAUUGUGGUGGCAUGAACUUGUUCAAUUGCCCAUUUUGGAGUGGCUAGUUGGAUUAGAAGGUAAGAAUUACCAUUGGGCAAUGGCAUCUUGAUGGUUCGAUGAAGGAUGUCUAGCACAACCCCUUGUUGUGUCAUCCAAUUCAUGCCUAAUAUAACAUCAAUAUCUUGAUCUUUAAGAACAAUCAUACUAGUAGGAAAACUAUACCCACCAAAUUUGAUAGGUAUCUGAUAAACCAUUUCCUUAGAACUCAGUCGUCCUCCUAGCGACUGUAUAUAGAAAUGAUCUUUAGUUUCCCCGAUGGGUAUGUCAUGCUUUAUCACAAAGGUGCGAUUGAUGAAAGUAUGGGAUGCUCCCAAAUCAAAAAGCAUCAAGGUAGGAUGAUUAGCAACAGGAAACGUACCCAUCAUCACCGGCUCUCCUUCCGGUAUGGUUUCAACCUCUGUAUGAAAAAUUUGUCCCACCUUCUUUGCAGGUUUACCCCUAUGUGCAUUUUGCCCUUUAUGAGCCACAUUUUUAAACUGGCUCGGUUGAGGUUGGCCGGUAGGCGGCCUUUGGAAAGUGGGGUUAUUUUGUCGAGGCUAGGGGCAUUCUUUAGAGAAAUGCCCGGGUUUACCACAAUUAUAGCAAGGGUAAUUGUGGUUCGGCGGAGCAGUAGGACGAACACAUGGGGCAUUCGGCUGGCAUGGUGCUGCAGUGAUGGCUGUAGGUCUAGGAUAAACCUGCUACCCAGGUCAGUACUGUAGAGGAGGAAAAGAACCACGAAAAGGUGGCUGCACCGGGAAGCGCCCGUGGCUCUGUUGGUGAUAAAUGAUUCUCUAGCGCUUUUGGCCGUGACCAGAGAAAGAGGAAGAAGUAGCCUUCUUCUUUGCCUCCUUAUGCUUUCUAUUUUUCUCUUCUGAGGCGAUAGCAAUGUUAACCGCCUCGUAGUAAGUGGCAUUCUGACAUGUGGUCAUCAUUGUUUGAAGUUUUGUAUUGAGGCCGCGCAUAAAGGAGGCCUUCUUCUUCCGAUCCGUGUUCACGUGCUCAGUGGCAUACUCAGAAAGGUGAUUGAAUUUAGCCACAUACUCCAUUACGCUUUUAUCACCUUGUCGCAAGGCGAGGAAUUCUUCCGCUUUCAUUGCCAUCAGUCCUUCUGGAAUAUAGUGGGCGCAAAAAGCGUCCUUGAAUUCUGUCCAAGUGACCUGGUGUCCAGGAGUCUGGAUGGCAAGAAAAUUUUCCCACCAUGCCCCUGCAGCUCCCUGAAGCUGUUGGGCUGCGAAGAGGGGCUUUUGAGUUUCUGAGCAACGGAUCAGGAUGAAUUUUCGCUCCAUUGUCCAGAGCCAGUCGUCAGCCUCCAAAGGCUCAUCUGCCUUUGUGAACACUGGUGGCCUCAUUUCAGUGAAAUCCACGUAACGAGUUUCUCCCUCUGGAUUAUUUUGUACUCGGAAGUUUGGGGGACGAUGGGUGCUAACUCGCGCAACAGACGAGCAUUGUCUGUGGUGGCACUCAGAAGAACAGCAAUUGCAUCAGCCAGGGAAGGUGGAGCAGGCGGAGGGUUGGGGAUGUCCUCCCCUCCUUGGGAAGGUCCAGCUCCAUCAGAUCCAUGGGUGCGCAUCGGCAUCUGCUACAACAGUUAUAUUUACCCAUUAUCUCUUAAAACCCACAACUUAGAAACAUAUUUUACAUACUUCAACUUAUUUAUCAUACAAUAGUUCAGCAUACUGAAAACAAAUGAGUACAAGUUUAAAACACACUUUACUACUAACCCAACCCAACUACGAUAGUCUAGAAAGAUCUAUAACGACGUCGCCCGCAACUCCACCGAACUAGUCGGUGUGGUCGGAACCAUAGCCCGGGUCGUCGUUAUCGCCAUGGUUGUCCCUCGGGUUGUCGUCACCACAGUCGGGUUCCUCUUCAUUGCUGGGGUCUUGAUCAGGCUCUCCCCCAUCUGCUAGCUCUCCAUCAGUAUCUGUUGACACUAGCUAACACCACUUAGAUACUAGGUUGUCAUCCCUAGCAUGGCGCCAGAGUGUACAAAGGUAUUUAUAAAUGUAAAGGCUCUCUAGAAAAUAAUCUAUUCUAUCCGCAAGCGCACAGAUAAAACACCUCAUUGUAGCAUUUCACCAGGAUAAGUAUUCCAGGUAUCGUUAUUUAUAAUUUUGCUUAGGGGAUCUCAAGAAGAUGGAAUUAAAUCAAGGGGGCAAAAUCUAUCAAGGCAUAGACUAGAGAUAAACUUGCAAGAACAUGAUUACUAAUAAGAAACUCGUCACACAGUCACAUACUUUAGCAGGGGGUAAACCAUAAAGAUAAUGAUGAUAAAGUAUAAGUUCAUGGGUAGAUAGCACAGCGAUUAGAAAAUAGACUACUCCUCAUAUAUGUAGGUGAUGUCGGAUUAGCUAGAGAAUGGAUUCUAAGUUAUCUACUAACUACUAAGUCAUAAUCUACUCUAGUUAUCUACAAGAUCAUAUAUAGCAUGAAAGACUCUUCAUUCAUGUAUAAGGAACAUUGAUAAAGUAAAUCAGAACAUCGCAUGACUUACUCCACAAUACCGGUUCUGCCUGUCCUAUCAACGGAGGGUGGACUAUAUAAGAAUCAACGAAGCUGUCACUAUCGCGAACUACCACACGACUCAGCCAAUAGGAUACAUUUGCAGAUAAAUAACAUCUAAGCACCACGCUCACAUGUGAUCUAUCACCUAACUCCCUCGCGACAAGAGCUAAGCGCUUUGCAAACUUAUACAUGAACUCAUUAUCAAUUAGAACUAUAUCAAAUAUAGAACUAGAGCAAACUAAGAACAUAAUAAUUAAAGACAUAAUGCAAUUAGAACAAUAGAAUUAGAGAAAGAUAUGAAUAAUACCAAUCUUUAUUACCGAAGAUCCGAAUCCAGAGCGUAGUGCUCUACUUCUCUAAUUGCUAUCUAAUCAACCUCUAAACUUGAAGGAUUAGGGAGUAGCUAAUUCUAAUUCUUUGUGGGAGAGAGAUCUAAACCCUAACUUUCAUGGCUACCUCUGAAUAAUGAUUUCUCCUCUUCUCCUCCAGGGGCCAGGGGGUCUGGUUUUAUAGUCCCCUCAAGUGAACGUGAGCCAUUGGAUCAAACCGACAUAGAUUGUAUGGUUUAGAUUGAUCCUUUAGGUCGGUGGAGAGUUGUCCAGAGAGAGUCCUGAUCCAACUCCUGGCUAGGGCAGGCGCCCAAGGGGGGUGGGCGGCCGCCUAGCUCCCGAGCCCGAUUCGCGUCCCGUUCGUUCCCGUGGCUUCUUGAUCCUUCUAGAUUGAGGAAAAUUGCGCGGCACGUAAUUAUCUCGUUGUAAACAUGACAUGUGGGCCUUCUCUCCCUAUUUUCUGAUAAACCCCUACAGAAAUAGAUAAACACCAGAGCUCGUGGAAUUCUGUCAGAUAAAACCCCUAUUCUAGAAGUUUGUUUCAUAUUGAUCCUUUUUCAUGUUUAUUUGAUUAUUAAUUUUAGUACUUAAGGACCGUCAACAAACUCCCCCAAGCUUGCCCUUUGCUCGUCCCUGAGCAAAUAGCUAAACUCAGACGGAUCAGGAGUUGCUUCGAUGUUUUCUUUCCUGACAGGCACACAUGCCUUUACAUAAAAAUUCUUCCAGAUUAGAGUGAAGUGUUAUGGAGUUUAGUACCUGCACUUAAAUCUUAAGUAAUCGAAAGACAAAAUAGUUAAGUCAAGCACUAUCCCUCUUGCCUAUACUUCACCUUUGUUCUAGAGUUUUUUAUAAGUUUUCAAAAUAAAACUCAGAGUUCCCAGCAAUGAUUCUCUCAGGUCUCUCUAUAUGUGGUAUUUGUGGAUCCUUACCAUAAUGUCACUUACCUAUAGCUAAUGGAAUAUUUAAGUGGAGCUCAUAGGAGUGGAAAACAGCUCAUACAUAUGUUGUCUAAUCGAGCCAUGGAUCCAAAGGAACUCAGCAUAUAAUUAAAUCAAGAUGUGCAUGUGUGGUGGAGUAAAUGAUAGUGAUGGUGAUAGUGUUAAUAAAUCUUAGUUCUCAUUGCUCCUCAUAUUGCUAUCUCUCCUCUUCUUUUAUCUUUGCCUUGGGAGAACAUGGCUAUCUUUUCUCUCUUUUUUUUUAGGUGGGUAAUAGAUACCCCUAAUUCUACUGUCGGACACUUGUCCAUUUUUACCUCUCAAGUGGGCAUCUUUGUACCCCUAAUUCUACUUCAGACACUUGUCCAUUUUUACCUCUCGUCUCACUCUUUUUCUUUCUUUUUCGAGGUUCCCGGGCACUUGCCCCUUUUUAUUUCCUCGUAUAUAUUUUUGCAUAACCCAUGCCUCUUCUGCAUUGAAUCUUUUUAGAGAGAGAGAAUAACAAUAUUCGGGACAGUGAGUGAUAAUAUUUUUAGCAAUUUUAAUGAUUGGUGAUGAAUGCUGUGGUAGAUGUGUGCAAGUGAAUAUCUUAAUUUAACCACAUGAAAAGCUCCUAAGGGUCAACACAGCUCGAUCAAACUCAAUGUAAAUAUAGUAAAAGAUGUUAUAGCAAGUAUGGCUGUGGUAGGUAGUUUGUUAUGCUUGGAACUCAUCAUGUGAUUUGUAAGUUUUCAAAAUAAAUCUCCAGAACUUAGUGUAGUAGGAACAAGAUAAACUGCUCAACUUUAUAUCAUGUCUUUCUCUUACCUAGACUUUAGUUUUAUGCUUUCCAAAGAUAGUAAUUUCAGUUUUAGUAAUUCCCGGAAGAAUUCUAAUAUAAAAGCUAGGUACUUGUAAGUAAGCAAACAGAGCAACUAUUCAUCAUUUCCAUCAUGCAUCUUUUUGGUCUUUUUAUUUUUUUUAGAGAUUAAACUUAGCAGAAAAAUAAAGCACACUUAUCUACACACUCCUUUUAUUUUGUUUUCAUGUUUAUUAAGUGCAGUAGAUUAAAGCAAGAAAAUAUUUAUUUGGUUUUCUAAGUUUUCCUUUUAAGAUAAAUAAAAUACUAAGACAGAAUAGAAUAAAUAAGAAGAGCAAAUAAAAACUUACUUG
rnacentral:lncRNA from 1 species